ACCAACGAGUAAAUUUGUAUGCGUGCUCCCUUUCCCGGAUGGUGAUGCAAGAAGACACAGAGAUUUAUCCUGGUUCGGGCAAGAGAAGGCCCUACGUCCAGCGGGGGGAGAGAGUUUGUAUUAUCUUGCACCUAAGUGCUUGUACAGGGGCGAAUACAAGCGUGGUAUGAAGUGUGGAGCUCUACUACGUAUGAGCGUGGUCUGGUGUUGUGAUCCUUCUCCGAUCUAUUCCUGAGUCUCUCCUUUUAUAGCUCCAAGGAGAGACCUAGGGUACAUGCGUAGAUGUUAGAGUAGGGGUCGAUAGCCGCAUGGAGCGCUGACCUACUCGAGGCUUCCGUACGACAUGGCCUCGAGCCGUCCCAUCUUUAUAGCCCGGUGAUGAUUACGCGUGCUCCUGCGUUCUGCCCUGCCCGCCGCCUCGCGCUGGUUCUGAGGUCGCACGCUUGUACGGUAUGGCGGCAGAUCCGGCGGGGUAGUUGUGGUGUUGUCAGUCGACGCCCAACUUGUCCCUAGGAAGGGACCCUGUUCGGUCGAGGGUCGGACGCCGUGUAAUGCGCUGAUAUCUGGAGCGCUGACCUUGGAGGUCUCGAGGGGGUCC
rnacentral:lncRNA from 1 species